CCCGCCGCAGUGAGGCGCCCGGCCCGGUGUGUGGAGUGGAGGUGGGCCCCCAGCUACAGGAGGCUCUCCUGGCACAGUUCCAGGGUGAGAAUCAAGCUGAACCAACCGGUGCUGAAGAAAGAGCCUGAGGGCCUCUGGUUCGCUCCAGUCUCACCCUGGAAGACCUGGUCUCAGCCGGCCAUCGUGCGCUAAGGGGAGGCAGGACACCUGCAGGCCCGGGUACAUGCUGAGCUGCUGCAGUGCGUGCUCCUCUUUUUCUCUGUGCUGGUCUUACGCUAGUAGUGCAGCAGCGCAUGCGCCCUCGGGUGGAAGAUGACCGCCGGGUGCUGCACCGGCCCACGUCUGUCUCCAAGGCCACAGUGGGUGCCUGGCUCACGCACCGCACACACUCAACGCCACGGAUCUUGGCGCCCAGUCCCAAGCGCAGCAUCAAGCGGGAGCAGGACACCUCUGCGCAGCGCAGGCCUCUUCGACCAGCAGCUUCCCAUCUGGCAGCUGCUGUAUCCACUAAAGUGCAGGGGCCCCUUUACAGUGGGCCUAGAGUUGAUGGAGACGAGAGGGGAUCCAGGCAGAGGGCCAGGCAGAAGGCUGGAGGCCCAGUAGCACAGCAGGAUGAAGCCCAAGGAGGAGAGGAUGCUUGGACUCUGACCCUUGGCUUUGAUGAGUUAAGUUGGCCUUCGCCUGGCCGCCUCGUAGGCAGCGCGGCGCUCGGGUCUCCGCCCCCCGCCCCAACCUGGCCGCAGCGGCAUGGCUGGCCACGGCGGCGUCUUACCUGCCGGCGAGGCCCUGCGCUACGCCGAGUACUCGCCGCCCCCAGCGAAGCGGUCGGACACGGACAUCGACCGGGGACUGGUCGCUAUGCAUUUCGGAUCUGGAAACCUCUAGGACAAGUAAUCACAGAAACCGCAAAGAAGAUUUCAGCUCCUACCUUUUCAUCCUACUAUAAAGGAGGAUUUGAACAGAAAAUGAGUAGGCGAGAAGCUAGUCUUAUUUUGGGUGUAAGCCCAUCUGCCGGCAAGGCUAAGAUUAGAGCAGCUCACAGGAGAAUCAUGAUUUUGAAUCACCCAGAUAAAGGUGGAUCUCCUUACUUAGCAACCAAAAUUAAUGAAGCAAAAGACUUACUAGAAGCAACCACCAAACACUGAGGAUGCUCAGGGCCCCUCUGAAGGAGGAAAAGGGAGAACCUUAUAAAAAAUGUCCUGCAGAUGCAAGCUGAGGGAGCAGGAAGGACCUUUUAAAAACAAAGCAGUUCCUUCCCAGAUUCCAGGGAAAGUGAUGAGCUACAGAGGCAGCAGCGAGAAAUGAAAUAUCCAAGGAAGCCAGCUCAUUUCGCACAGUGGGAACCACGCCAUCCACCGGACACCCUGCACCUCGCCCGGCACCUCCUGGACAAAGGCCUCUGGCUGGAAAUUUGAUGGCAGUGAGUAAAUGUGUCAGCACUGAGCCUCUCUCCUAACGGAAAGGCAGCCCAAAGAGCAUAUCCUGUUAACACGAGGUCAGCAUCAUCUACUUGCCGAAAAUAUGCCAUGAAUUAUGAGCCAAAAUCUUAUUGAUGAUGGAGUUAGACACAUUAGGACAUGAAUAUAAUUUAUUAGCUGGAAAAGCUGAGAAGAUUCCCUGGGCUCUUUUUUUAGGUGGAAUCUAAGUGAUCUGGAUCACUGCCCACCAGUGAAAUUGCUGGGCAUGGUAGACAAAGAAAAUGUUCCUUCUAAUGAUUUUUAUGAGCUGAGUAGCUAUUGUUCCCAGCUGAGUGCUCUUUUCCUUUUUUUUUUAUUGUUGCUGAGCAAAAGAAUUUAUAAA